CAGAGUCAGAAUCUCUCUCUAAUCGUGGAAGUCUUUCUCUCUGUCAACGCCAAAUUUGAAGUUACACUAAAACCCUGAAGAAACCCCAACUCGCCGCCGAUGCUUCUACGCCUCACUCUUUUUUCUCCCCGCAACUGCCGCCGUCUUUCCACCGCCGCUUCUCCUCCUCUUCUAUGGGAGCACCCUGGCCAGCAAUCCACCACUCUACAGCUUUUCUCCUGGGGACGUGGCGCCUCCGGUCAGCUCGGCGGCGGCAUCGAGGAAGUCAGGAUGUACCCUUCCCCUGUUUCUACUCUAUCCCUGCCGCCUAAUUUCUCCCUCUCCGGCAUCAUCCCUGGCCGUCUCUCUCAGCCAUUCACCUCUCGCGUCGAGGUCGGGAUCUCCUGCGGCCUGUUCCAUUCGGGCUUGGUGGUGGAUGGGAAGCUCUGGAUGUGGGGGAAAGGGGACGGUGGUCGCCUAGGGUUCGGACAUGAAAAUCCAGUAUUUGUUCCCACGCCAAAUUUUAAUUUGGAGUCUGAUGUUCGAACCAUCGCUCUCGGCGGCCUCCAUUCUGUCGCGCUAGAUGUCCAUGGCCGGGUCUUCACUUGGGGCUACGGUGGAUUUGGUGCUCUUGGACAUUCUGUGUAUCACAGAGAGCUGUUACCUAAAAUGGUUGAGGGAUCUUGGGAUGGAAAGAUUUCUCAUAUUGCAACAAGUGGUACACAUACGGCUGCUAUCACAGAAGCUGGCAAACUUUAUAUUUGGGGACGAGAUGAAGGUGAUGGCAGAUUAGGACUUGGUCCUGGACGUGGCCCAGAUCAUGCUGGUGGCCUCAGCACACCUUCUGAAGUGAAAGCAUUGCCUGUGCCAGUGGCUGCUGUUUCUUGUGGUGGUUUUUUCACAAUGGCAUUGACUGAGGAUGGGCAGCUUUGGAAUUGGGGUGCCAACUCUAACUAUGAGCUUGGUCGAGGUGAUAAAGUUGGUGGCUGGAGGCCUCAACCUGUUCCUAGCCUAAAAGAUGUUCGUAUAAUUCAAAUAGCUAGUGGUGGAUAUCACUCUCUUGCUUUGACAGACAAAGGAGAAGUUCUUUCAUGGGGUCAUGGCGGACAUGGUCAACUAGGUCAUUCUUCUCUACAUAGUCGAAAGGUUCCUGAACCUGUUGAGGGCUUAUCCAAUGAACAGAUCUCUUUUAUUGCUUGUGGAGGUUCAUCAUCUGCUGCUGUAACAGAUAAGGGAAAGCUGUAUAUGUGGGGCAAUGCUGCCGAUAAUCAACUAGGGGUUCCAGGACUUCCAGAGGUUCAGUCAUCACCUAUCGAGCUUAACUUUCUUUCAGAAGAUGAUGGGCUUGGGGGGCACAACGUACUUUGUGUUGCAUGUGGAGCUUCUCAUGCCAUGUGUCUUGUUCAAAGGUCAGGCUGCUGAUAGGCAUUCCAUUUGCUCAUAUUUGGUUUACCUGUUACUUUCCAGCGUGAAAUAUAGAAUCGUUGGAGCUUUGAACUGCCAGAGGUAUUUCACUAUUGUUGGAAGCAGACUGUGAACUGUGAUGCACCCAAUUACUCCGACCCAAAGAUCUGCACGUGACUGUUUUGAUGCUGCGAGUGCGUAGUCUGCUUCUCUAGUUGGAAAUGAUCCUCCUCAGGUUGAUAGCGAACUAGAUGACACAGAUGAUGUGCACAUAGUUUGUCUUGUCAUAUUAAAAACUUGGUACCUGGGUGCUAUUAAUACACUUAACCUUUGGAAUGUUGAUGUUUUUGUGUUUGAUAAUAUCAAUAAGUCAUGAGAUUUGCAUAUUGCUGGUGACAAUGAACUAAAAUACCCAGAUGAAUAUACUAGGUUGUUUAUUUAUAUUUUUAGAAAUGUCUGGACAUGCCAAUCAAUCAUUAGAUCACAUACAAUAAACUUCUCAUGUAAAAAAAAUAUUAAAAUUCAAAACACCAA